rnacentral:rRNA from 1 species
UACGAAGGGGGCUAGUGUUGUCCGGAAUUACUGGGCGUAAAGAGCUCGUAGGUGGUUUGUCGCGUUGUUCGUGAAAACUCACGGCUUAACUGUGAGCGUGCGGGCGAUACGGGCAGACUGGAGUACUGCAGGGGAGACUGGAAUUCCUGGUGUAGCGGUGGAAUGCGCAGAUAUCAGGAGGAACACCGGUGGCGAAGGCGGGUCUCUGGGCAGUAACUGACGCUGAGGAACGAAAGCGUGGGGAGCAAACAGG